rnacentral:rRNA from 1 species
CCUACGGGAGGCAGCAGUGAGGAAUAUUGGUCAAUGGCCGGAAGGCUGAACCAGCCAAGCCGCGUGAAGGACGAAGGUGCCAAGCAUUGUAAACAUCUUUUGUCAAGGGACAAAAUCAGGCUUGAGAGCCUGACCGAGGGGACUUGAAGAAAAAGCAUCGGCUAACUCCGUGCCAGCAGCCGCGGUAAUACGGAGGAUGCGAGCUUUAUCCGGAUUGAUGGGGUUUAAAGGGUGCGUAGGCGGGCUGUUGAGUCAGCGGUAAACGCCCGGGGCUCACCCCCGGCGAGCCGUUGAAACUGGCUGUCUUGAGAUGUCGAGAGGUAUGCGGAAUGCGCAGUGUAGCGGUGAAAUGCUUAGAGAUUGCGCAGAACUCCGAUGGCGAAGGCAGCAUACCGGCGGCGAUCUGACGCUGAGGCACGAAAGCGUGGGUAUCGAACAGGAUUAGAUACCCCAGUAGUC